GCUGAUCUAAUUUCUGGCAUGAAGGAAUAAGGCUUUUUGUAAGGUGUGACCUGCACCUGGUGAAAAAGGGAUCAGUGGCACCGUGACAAUGUCUCUUCCUGAAAGGUGGCUGUGCUCAGAUCAUGGCCAACUUAGUCAUAAAAGAAAUGUCUUUAAACUUCACAGUCUGCCGACAUUCUUAUUUCCCAGAGCUUAUAUUUUCCACGCUUCCAAAAUGAAAAAAAUCAAUUAUAUCCAGUAACAACAGGAUUCUUAAUUGAUUAGGACCCCAAAACUUCUCACAGACUUUCUGGAACCUUCAGAAACUGAAGUGUUUGGAUAUUAAAUGAUGAAUCUGGACCAGA